rnacentral:rRNA from 1 species
GACGAACGCUGGCGGCGUGCUUAACACAUGCAAGUCGAACGGAAAGGCCCCGCUUUUGUGGGGUGCUCGAGUGGCGAACGGGUGAGUAACACGUGAGUAACCUGCCCUUGACUUUGGGAUAACUUCAGGAACUGGGGCUAAUACCGGAUAGGAGCUCCUGCUGCAUGGUGGGGGUUGGAAAGUUUCGGCGGUUGGGGAUGGACUCGCGGCUUAUCAGCUUGUUGGUGGGGUAGUGGCUUACCAAGGCUUUGACGGGUAGCCGGCCUGAGAGGGUGACCGGCCACAUUGGGACUGAGAUACGGCCCAGACUCCUACGGGAGGCAGCAGUGGGGAAUAUUGCACAAUGGGCGGAAGCCUGAUGCAGCAACGCCGCGUGCGGGAUGACGGCCUUCGGGUUGUAAACCGCUUUCGCCUGUGACGAAGCGUGAGUGACGGUAAUGGGUAAAGAAGCACCGGCUAACUACGUG